rnacentral:rRNA from 1 species
UACGAGAGGCCCAAACGUUAUUCGGAAUUACUGGGCUUAAAGAGUUCGUAGGCGGCCAUGUAAGUGAGGUGUGAAAUCCCUCGGCUCAACCGAGGAACUGCGCUUCAUACUGCAUGGCUUGAGGGAGACAGGGGUAAGCGGAACUGAUGGUGGAGCGGUGAAAUGCGUUGAUAUCAUCAGGAACACCGGUGGCGAAAGCGGCUUACUGGGUCUCUUCUGACGCUGAGGUACGAAAGCUAGGGUAGCGAACGGG